GAGCAACCUCCAAACAUUUGGAGUGAAUUGGCGCAACUUCUCUACUCCCGCGUGAAGCAAUGUUUUGUUUUGAAGAUUGCUGCGUGACUACAGCUUUAUUUACACAUAUAACCUAUAUCUCCAGAUUGUUGCUCUGAAAAUAACCCCACGCACAGGAAGCAACGAUGCACAACGCAAACCACCGCUGCAAUGGAGAUAAGUAGGGAAGCAAAGGAGAGAGAGGACCCAUGGGCGUUCCAGGUGCUCAAGGUCUGAGUGGACGCAAAGGAGAGAGAGGACCCAUGGGCGUUCCAGGUGCUCAAGGUCUGAGUGGACGCAAAGGAGAGAGAGGACCCAUGGGCGUUCCAGGUGCUCAAGGUCUGAGUGGACGCAAAGGAGAGAGAGGACCCAUGGGCGUUCCAGGUGCUCAAGGUCUGAGUGGACGCAAAGGAGAGAGAGGACCCAUGGGCGUUCCAGGUGCUCAAGGUCUGAGUGGACGCAAAGGAGAGAGAGGACCCAUGGGCGUUCCAGGUGCUCAAGGUCUGAGUGGACGCAAAGGAGACAAGGGCUUCCAAAGAAGAGGUGGACCCAAAGGAGACAUUGUAGACUCCGACGUGGAGGGACUAGCUGGUGAGAAAGGGAAAAAGGUAUGUCUGGAGAAUCUGGCACUAAAGGACAGAGUGAGGAGACCUUGGACAUAAUGGUCCAACAUGGAGACUCUGGGAAGCCAGGUGAUGUAGGACCCCCUGGACUGCCUGGUCCUCGGGGGUUGAAAGGCAUGAGCGGUGUGCAUGGCAGGCCGGGUAUUGAGGGUCCACCGGGACAAGAUAUAUCUGACCAGCAUAUUAUUGAUGUGGUAUAAAGAAUGUUGCAAGGUGAG